rnacentral:tRNA from 2 species
GCUCGGAUGGCGCAAUUGGCAGACGCGUCCGCCUCAAAACCGGAAUGUUGAGGGUUCGACUCCCUCUCCGAGCA